rnacentral:rRNA from 1 species
AGCAGUAGCCACGGUAAUACGAAGGGUGCAAGCGUUAAUCGGAAUUACUGGGCGUAAAGCGUGCGUAGGCGGUGAGUUAAGUCUGCUGUGAAAUCCCCGGGCUCAACCUGGGAACUGCAUCUGUGACUGCAUAGCUAGAGUACGGUAGAGGGGGAUGGAAUUCCGCGUGUAGCAGUGAAAUGCGUAGAUAUGCGGAGGAACACCGAUGGCGAAGGCAAUCCCCUGGACCUGUACUGACGCUCAUGCACGAAAGCGUGGGGAGCAAACAGGAUUAGAUACCCCAGUAGUCCCUGUCUCUUAUAC